UACGGGGGGGGCAAGCGUUGUUCGGAAUUACUGGGCGUAAAGGGCUAGUAGGCGGCCGACUAAGUCGGAUGUGAAAUCCCCAGGCUCAACUUGGGAACUGCAUCCGAUACUGGUUGGCUUGAAUCCGGGAGAGGGAUGCAGAAUUCCAGGUGUAGCGGUGAAAUGCGUAGAUAUCUGGAGGAACACCGGUGGUGUAGACGGCUUUCUGGACCGUAACUGACGCUGAGACACGAAAGCGUGGGUAGCAAACAGG
rnacentral:rRNA from 1 species